rnacentral:rRNA from 1 species
UUAAAUUGAAGAGUUUGAUCAUGGCUCAGAUUGAACGCUGGCGGCAGGCCUAACACAUGCAAGUCGAACGGUAACAGGAAGCAGCUUGCUGCUUUGCUGACGAGUGGCGGACGGGUGAGUAAUGUCUGGGAAACUGCCUGAUGGAGGGGGAUAACUACUGGAAACGGUAGCUAAUACCGCAUAACGUCGCAAGACCAAAGAGGGGGACCUUCGGGCCUCUUGCCAUCGGAUGUGCCCAGAUGGGAUUAGCUAGUAGGUGGGGUAACGGCUCACCUAGGCGACGAUCCCUAGCUGGUCUGAGAG